AUUGAACGCUGGCGGCAGGCCUAACCCAUGCAAGUCGAACGCGUGGCGGACGGGUGAGUAAUGUCUGGGAAACUGCCUGAUGGAGGGGGAUAACUACUGGAAACGGUAGCUAAUACCGCAUACCAUCGGAUGUGCCCAGAUGGGAUUGGCUAGUAGGUGGGGUAAAGGCUCACCUAGGCGACGAUCCCUAGCUGGUCUGAGAGGAUGACGAACGACACGGGAACUGAGACACGGUCCAGACUCCUAUGGGAGGCAGCAGUGGGGAAUAUUGCACAAUGGGCGCAAGCCAGGUGCAGCCAUGGCGGGUGUAUGAAGAAGGCCUGCGGGUUGUAAAGUACUUUCAGCGGGGCGGCGUUCCCCUCAGAAGAAGCACCGGCUAACUCCGUGCCAGCAGCCGCGGUAAUAC
rnacentral:rRNA from 1 species